UGGCAAGAAGUGAAUAAUUUACGCCCGGUUUCGGCCCGGAUUUUGGCUGAUUUCAAGCCCUUGCUAU
rnacentral:tRNA from 1 species